CUGCUUUCUAUUUUCCCACAACAUAUUUUUGCUGUUUUGUACCGAAUGCACAAUGCCACAAUGUCUACUCUUUUUAUCAAUCUCCUAUUGAAAAGGGGGAAAAAGGUUUAAAAGACAAAAUCAAAGUAAAUAAGGAACAAAGACUAGCAUACCAGCAGCUUGUUCACAUUUUCCCUAGCAGAAUACAAUUACUCAACAAGAGUGCAAUAAGCAAGAAGCUUACAGUUUAAUGGGGAAGCUUUACAUAGAUAUUAUAACUUACAGGAAAUUUACACUUCAUACAUUACACAAACACUGAAACACAGCAACAAGAGGCACUUCCCUUGCGCGUUUAAGGGAACAAGAGGCACAUUCUUCACAUAAGUCACUGAAGGCAAAAGUGGGUCACUGAAGGCAAAAGUGGGUUUUACUCUUAUAAAUAAAGAACUCAACACAAACUUAAUAAGUUAAAUAUUGAACAUCGAUGCUUGCAUUACUCUGCCCAUUUAUCACAGCUGGAAUUGACAUGUUUACCUCUUCCACUUGAUCACGUUCAUCUUUAGCAUGACCAUUUAGGAGGUUAGGCUGUUCCUUUCUGUUGGUAGAAACUGGGGCGCUGGUUUCUUCUUUGUAUCUACCCAGGCUCUGAUGAUUUCGCUCACCAAAAGCUCCUUUAACCUUGUCUGCCAGAGAUGGAUUUACUGUAUCACUGCAGCUCUUUCUUCUGCCAAGCUUUGGUGAUUUUGCACGGGUUGGUGGAAGCUGGCAAUAUACAAAGCUUAGUAGAAAGAUAUUGAUCACAAAUACAUUAUAAAUUUUGCAUUAGUAUUCUUUAGUAACUUGCUUCCGUUACUAAACCAUCAAUUUCCUUUAUUCUGCCAACAUUGAGAACUCCGUACUUCAAUAACAUUGCAGAAACAAGUACCUGAAAACACCAGCUAAGAAGGAGAAGAUCCUGUCAACAAUACCUUUUUUAGUUCAAUCUUAGGUGGUGGUCCCUCAUGGUAGAAACUGGGCAUCGGGUUAGCCUUAAACAACAAGCUUUUCCUCAGUUGCUUGAUAGCUGCCUCCCUCUCUUCCUUGGUUCUUGCUUCACUUUGGGUUUUCUCAGCCUCCAAUGCUUGGUGUUUCUCCUCUAACUUUGAAUAAAACUAAAAAUCGAUAGCAUGACAAGGACAUUGCAUCUUACAUUCAGGUAUAUUUUGAACACACAAAAUUGUUUUAAAUAGUUAAGCCAACAUUCAACUCCACAUGAAACAUGGUGAUAAAGGAUAUACCUCCUUCCGUUUCUCAGCACGUUCAGAGCAUCUAAAUAUUGGAGCUGAUGCAACAGUUGUCCUUGACUUAUGAGUUCGAGCAGAUGCUGCAGUAAUGGAAGUAACAGAACAAGUAUCCUCCUCAUCAGGACGCUUCUUGUUAUUUGGUUGCAAUGGCUUUCUUGAUAGCUGAUUCUGCUUUAUAGUGUUUGGAUGUAGCACAUUGUUUGCAUUUGAUGAUUUAUUCAAACCAGCGGGGGCAUCAAGGUCAAGUCCAGUAGGACGUGUUCCACAUGAAGCACGCUUUUCAGUUGCUAAAGCAAAUGGCUGUGGAACAGUGCGUUUUGUUCGAACAACUCCAGAAGGAGCAGCUUUUGAUGCAUGCUUCAUGCAUGGUUGAGACUUAUUACUAUACUUUGUUUUCUCUUUUCCUGAUUUUACCUUUUCCUCUUGCAAGCCAACCUCAAAUUUUGAGCUUAGCACAUUCGGGUCCUUACUUUC
rnacentral:misc_RNA from 1 species